UGUGUUAUCAGACUUGAUGAAUCCCUGAAUCUCUUUUCACAAUGUGCACACUUGUAGGGUUUCUCUCCAGUGUGGAUCCUCUCAUGUGUUUUCAGAGCUCCUGACUGACUGAAUCUCUGUUCACAGUAUGAACACUUGUAAGGUUUCUCUCCAGUGUGGAUACUCUCAUGCAGUUUUAAAUUGGUCGCUGUAGUAAAAGUCUUUUCACACUGAAAGCACAUGUACUCUCUCACACCAGUAUGUAUUUUCUGAUGCCCUUUCAAAUGUUGUAGACGUGAAAAACUCUUUCCACACAAAUGACAUGAAUGUGGUUUCUCUUUUGUAUGAACUCUCAGGUGCUGCUUCAGGUGUGAAGCCCUCAAAAACAUUUUGUCACAUUGAUCACAAGCGUACAGUUUCUCUCUAGUGUGAACAUUUGUGUGUGCAUAAAGAUGUGAUAAUUGUGAGAAACUCUUCCCGCACUGAUCACAAUUAAACGGUUUCUCUCCAGUAUGAACUCUCAUGUGUGCUGUAAGUAGUCCUUUUCGUGUGAAACUCUUCCCGCACUGAUCACAAUUAAACGGUUUCUCUCCAGUAUGAACUCUCAUGUGUGCUCUAAGGUGUUCUUUUCGUG